CUGACAUGACAUUGAUUAUUGUGAUUGUAUCGGUUGCUGCCUGUAUUACACUGAUUAUUCUCAUCCUCGCUGCAGUCAUUUGGCACAGACACCAUGAGAAAAAAGAUCCUGGGACAGUUACACAAACAGAUGUGCAUGUCCAUCCAGAUGUGGAAUUGGAGUAUAUUCAAGGUUUAUUUGGUCUUGGUAAUGCCUGCUAUGCUAUCAGUAACAUACCCGCCCAAGGAGAUAUUGAGUCACUUCCUGUGUUUCCUAAACACUGUCUGAAGCUUCAGAGGUUGUAGGGUAGUGGUGCUUUUGGAGAAGUCUAUGAAGGAGUUACAGUUGCCAGCCAAAUUAGUGAAGUUGUUCCUGA